rnacentral:rRNA from 1 species
UUGCCAUCAUUUAGUUGGGCACUCUAGAGGGACUGCCGGUGAUAAGCCGAGAGGAAGGUGGGGAUGACGUCAAUUCCUCAUGGCCCUUACGGGCUGGGCUACACACGUGCUACAAUGGCGGUGACAAUGGGCAUCGAGGCCGCGAGGCCUAGCUAAUCUCCAAAAGCCGUCUCAGUUCGGAUUGCACUCUGCAACUCGAGUGCAUGAAGUUGGAAUCGCUAGUAAUCGUGGAUCAGAACGCCACGGUGAAUACGUUCCCGGGCCUUGUACACACCGCCCGUCACACCAUGGGAGUUGGCUUUACCCGAAGGUGCUGCGCUAACCGCAAGGAGGCAGGCAACCACGGUAGGGUCAGCGACUGGGGUGAAGUCGUAACAAGGUAGCCGUAGGGGA